CUUGGCGUGCAGCGCGGGCCUCGGCGGUGCCCAAGACCCCGGCCCGGAAGGAUGCGGCCCUGGGCGGCCCGGGAGCUGAGCAGGGCCCCCGCGCCGACCCCCGCGGGCCCCGGCCUCCGGAGCUGCAGCUGCCGCCCGGCCCCCGAGAGACAUGACUUGCAAGCCGCGUUCCGACUGGAUUCCCUACAGUGUCUUAGAAGAUGAGGGCAGCAACCUGAGGCAGCAGAAGCUUGACCGGCAGCGGGCCCAAUUUUUAAAAAAAGGAAGACAAACAAAAAAACAACAAUAUGGCAAGAAGUUAAUGACGAGUAUUUCAAUCUUUCCCUUUUCGGUUUUCAUCCAAAAAUCUUGACUGAACUGCAGUUGUGCACGGAUGAAGGGAUCAUCCACUGACAGCAGGUGUAACCAGCAUCUCCAGAGCAGCAGCCCACGAGGGACUGGCAUCCCGCGAGCCAAAGCAGUUGGCCCAGAGUGUGGUGGGGCGUCCAGAGCUGAACUAAUAACAGCCUUCCUGUGAUACUCAGCCCGGAGAUCAAGUUGGAAAGAGGUGGUCAUCAUGACUGGCUGUGUGUUCUCUCUUGACUGAUGGAGGAAACUGGAGGUCAAUUCAAAGAAAAAGAAUUGGAACAUUAUUAACUAUCUUGAAAUUCAGCAAUAUACCUAUAGAAAAACCAAAUCUAAAAAAGUCAAUGCACCAAGAAGAGAACACAACGGAUGUUAAAUUAAAUAAAUAUUAUCAUAAGCAUUAACACUCAAAUGACUUGAGGUAGGAGAAGGAGUCAUCCUACUUCUCUUAACUGCUGAACAUCCUCCUCUUAUUUUGAUGCAAGGAGAUGGAGACAUGUCCCACUACCAAAUCUGGAUGCCUGUACUUAAAUCACCAUGGUGCAAAGCAAGUACUUGAACAGAGAAACAACAGGGAAGCUAUCACACCUCCUUCCUACUCUAUCUCGGGGUUGAGUAUCACAGGAAGGCUGUUAUUGGUUCAGGCCUGGUCACUCCACCACUCUUUGGACCAAUAGCUGUGGCUCACGGGCUGCCAGUCCCUCUUCGGCUGCAUCAGUGGAGGGUGGGGCCUGAGCUGCUCUCACUGGAUACUCUCAUCAUCCAGUGAUGCAAAAUUGCAGCUCCUGAAGGUCUGAAGGUUCCUGCAAGGUCCUGAAGGUUCUAAAAAUCAAAAAAUUCUCGAUUGGGAAACAAUAAAUUGUAUGAAUCUGAAUGAAUUCCAGUAGUAAUUUCAGAAACCAGUGACUUAAAAAAGUGAAUUGUUUCUUGGAAGUUUCAGGUAGCUAUUUUGUAAUAUGUUUGAGUACUCAUGUGUGCAUUUAAAUGACUUAAUAUUAUGGGACAUGUCGAAAAAGGUUGAAGAGGGAUGUAUUGGUGGGCUUAUUUGCUUCCUCACUUUAUCUCUGGCUAUAUCACACAUAAAGUAUCUCUAGUAAAUUCCACAACAUCCUCCCAGGGAAUGAGAAUUAAAAUGCAAAAUAAAAUUAAUACAAAAAUAAUUUAGACCUUAAGGAACUCUAUAAAGGCUGAACUAGAACUAAAAUGACUGUUGAGGUAAGUUAUGAAAUGCAGUAUGGUUAAGGAAUAGUCACAAUUUUUGUUGGAACAAACUGCACUACCGACAUAUAUUCAAGUAGAACUGAUAAUGUUUGAUGUUCACUUCAACUUCAAAAUGUUUCAGUGAUGGGCAGUAGUAUGGCACAGGUCGAAAAACGAGAGUCAAUCUGACUCUUCAGUGCUACAGGUCUUUUCCUGACAAGUGAGUGGCUCUGAAAAGACCC